CUGGCUCUGUAAACUGAGGACAUGAAAUUUAUUUCUGUGUCACUACUCUUCUCAAUGUAUUCGACGCUUUCUUAUAGUCAACUUGAUUUUACAAAGCUGCCUGAAGAUGAUCAACGGAGGCUUAAAGAAGCCGAGCAGCUCCUGAACGGAAGCGACACAAUAUUCCUAGUCGAAGGCGUAAAUGGCGUGUUACGUGGAAACAAUCACAUUUGCUGGUCUUCUUCUCGAAUUUUCGACCGUACUGCACCAGGAUUUCACCAUAAGAUGACCUACUAUACUACCCAGA